rnacentral:rRNA from 1 species
AGGGCACCACCAGGAGUGGAGCCUGCGGCUUAAUUUGACUCAACACGGGAAAACUCACCCGGCCCGGACACUGGAAGGAUUGACAGACUGAGAGCUCUUUCUUGAUUCGGUGGGUGGUGGUGCAUGGCCGUUCUUAGUUGGUGGAGUGAUUUGUCUGGUUAAUUCCGAUAACGAACGAGACUCUAGUCUGCUUACUAUGUUUAUUUGUUGCUUUCAACUUUGUUAUGCCUCACCCGGACAAGGGGGGAUAUUACCACACGCGAGAGACAUCUCACAUGACAGUUCUGACAUAGACUGGCGGGGUUUUAGCCGCACCAACACUAACAAUAUCAGGUCUGUGAUGCCCUUAGAUGUCCGGGGCCGCACGCCCGCUACACUGAAGUGAUCAGCGUGCAUUUGUUCUCGCUCCGUGAGGAGCGAGUAACCCAAGGAACCUUCUUCGUGAUAGGGAUUGGGCAUUGUAAUUAUUGCCCAUGAACGAGGAAUUCCCAGUAAGCGCGAGUCAUUAGCUUGCGUUGA